UACGGAGGGUGCAAGCGUUAUCCGGAUUCACUGGGUUUAAAGGGUGCGUAGGCGGGUUGGUAAGUCAGUGGUGAAAUCUCCGGGCUUAACUCGGAAACUGCCGUUGAUACUAUCAAUCUUGAAUCUCGUGGAGGUAAGCGGAAUAUGUCAUGUAGCGGUGAAAUGCUUAGAUAUGACAUAGAACACCGAUAGCGAAGGCAGCUUGCUACACGAGUAUUGACACUGAGGCACGAAAGCGUGGGGAUCAAACAGG
rnacentral:rRNA from 1 species